UUUGGAGAGUGCUUCUCUCUCUUACUUCUCUCUCCUCAUUUUCUCUCUCUAGCUUUCUCUCUCUAAAACUUCAGCGGAUCAUAACUUUUAAUUCGUAACUCCGAUUCAGGAUCCGCGAAAGGCUACGGAUUCGUCUUGAUGUCCUCUUUCUAUUCAUAGAGGUUUGAGUUAGAUCCAAUGGUGAUUUCUAGAAGGCAAGUUUUAGGAGGCUCGGUUAAUGAUCGGUAUUCUAGGAGGCGAUUCGGAUUAUCGAGAGAAGUACUUAGGUUUUGACGAGCCGAAGUGGGUUGGACGAGCCUAGAAUGAAGAACUUAGAAGGAUAUUUUAUUUACAUUCUGCUUUGUAACACUCACACCUCAGAUUCGGGGUCAGGUGCUUAAAAUCCACCGACAUCGGGUCCGGGGUGUGACAGCUGUGUUGGCAGCAGGGAUGUAGUUGUGCCUAGAGCUACUUGGGCUGUAGCUUGAGGGAGAUUUUGGGCUAAAAGUUGCCAAGUAUAGAUGUAGCCCAAAUAAAAAAAAGAAAAAUUAUACAUAUGUGUCUCAUACUCUCAGUCAUCGUCUAUCUGAGAAGUGAGAAUCAAUUACGCUGCCGCCGAGCCACCUCCCUCUGAGACUCAGUCCCGCCGGUCUGACUUCCUCAGUCCCUCCGGUCUGACUUCCUCAGUCCCUCACCGAGGCUCCUUCUGACUUUCUGAGGCUCAGAGGCUCAGUCCCGCCACCUCCACCGCUCCACGAAUUGAACUCUUACUACUGAAAACUUUACUAUGGAUUGGACGGUGGUUCAUUUGAUCUGGAAAAUUCGCUCUCUUGCCACUUGCCAUUCCCAUGUUAGCUGGAGUUGGUCCAGCAGACAAACCAAUCUUGCAGCUGAUUAUAUUGCUGCUCUGGCUUCCAGGAGGACGUGUACAUCGGAUUGGAAACCCACUUUCCAAUCCUCCUUCCUCCUUUUUUAAUUUAUUGUUGUCUGAUGCUUCUCAGGCUUCUCACAUCUCUUCCCAGAACUUUGUUCCUUUUGGUUUUGAUGUGGGAUAGCUUUUUUCUUUGUAAUCCUUUCUUUGUUCUUUUAAUACAAUUGUUUUCAGUAAAAAAAAAAAAACAAAAACAAAAAGAGCCUAGCAUCUCUGAACCCCUAAUGGAUGAGAAUAUUCUGCAUUCAACUAGCGAAAGGUGCAAUAUAAAGGAAAAUGCUGGAUACUUUUGAGGUUCCUUUUCUAAUUCAAAGUAUAU